rnacentral:rRNA from 1 species
GGGUUGUGAGGUUAAGCGACUAAGCGUACACGGUGGAUGCCCUGGCAGUCAGAGGCGAUGAAGGGCGUGCUAAUCUGCGAUAAGCGCCGGUAAGGUGAUAUGAACCGUUAUAACCGGCGAUACCCGAAUGGGGAAACCCAGUGUGAUUCGUCACACUAUCAUUAACUGAAUCCAUAGGUUAAUGAGGCGAACCGGGGGAACUGAAACAUCUAAGUACCCCGAGGAAAAGAAAUCAACCGAGAUUCCCCCAGUAGCGGCGAGCGAACGGGGAGGAGCCCAGAGCCUGAAUCAGCAUGUGUGUUAGUGGAAGCGUCUGGAAAGGCGCGCGAUACAGGGUGACAGCCCCGUACACAAAAGCGCAUGUGCUGUGAGCUCGAUGAGUAGGGCGGGACACGUGGUAUCCUGUCUGAAUAUGGGGGGACCAUCCUCCAAGGCUAAAUACUCCUGACUGACCGAUAGUGAACCAGUACCGUGAGGGAAAGGCGAAAAGAACCCCGGCGAGGGGAGUGAAAAAGAACCUGAAACCGUGUACGUACAAGCAGUGGGAGCCCCACCACUAAGCCAGUGGUGAACUCCACAUACGCAUCCUUUGCUGAGGAUACGGUUAACGGAGCGAAAGCGACGUUCAACCGCAAAAGAAGCAGAGGGGGCUUAGUGGUGGUGUGACUGCGUACCUUUUGUAUAAUGGGUCAGCGACUUAUAUUCUGUAGCAAGGUUAACCGAAUAGGGGAGCCGGAGGGAAACCGAGUCUUAAUUGGGCGUUAAGUUGCAGGGUAUAGACCCGAAACCCGGUGAUCUAGCCAUGGGCAGGUUGAAGGUUGGGUAACACUAACUGGAGGACCGAACCGACUAAUGUUGAAAAAUUAGCGGAUGACCUGUGGCUGGGGGUGAAAGGCCAAUCAAACCGGGAGAUAGCUGGUUCUCCCCGAAAGCUAUUUAGGUAGCGCCUCGUGAAUUCAUCUCCGGGGGUAGAGCACUGUUUCGGCUAGGGGGCCAUCCCGGCUUACCAACCCGAUGCAAACUGCGAAUACCGGAGAAUGUUAUCACGGGAGACACACGGCGGGUGCUAACGUCCGUCGUGAAGAGGGAAACAACCCAGACCGCCAGCUAAGGUCCCAAAGUCAUGGUUAAGUGGGAAACGAUGUGGGAAGGCCCAGACAGCCAGGAUGUUGGCUUAGAAGCAGCCAUCAUUUAAAGAAAGCGUAAUAGCUCACUGGUCGAGUCGGCCUGCGCGGAAGAUGUAACGGGGCUAAACCAUGCACCGAAGCUGCGGCAGCGAACGUAUCACUUAAAGCGAUUCAGCGGGUUACGAUUGACGGAGCGAAGCGACGUCAAAGCGUAUACAAAGUCGAGUCGGUUUAAGGAUACGUUCGUUGGGUAGGGGAGCGUUCUGUAAGCCUGUGAAGGUGGCCUGUGAGGGUUGCUGGAGGUAUCAGAAGUGCGAAUGCUGACAUAAGUAACGAUAAAGCGG